ensembl:lncRNA
CUCUACUCUGUCCAAUAGAUGGGAGUCUCCUCCACUCUGUCCAAUAGAUGGGAGUCUCCUCCACUCUGUCCAAUAGAUGGGAGUCUCCUCCACUCUGUCCAAUAGAUGGGAGUCUCCUCCACUCUGUACAAUAGAUGGGAGUCUCCUCCACUCUGUCCAAUAGAUGGGAGUCUCCUCCACUCUGUACAAUAGACUGAGUCUCCUCCACUCUGUACAAUAGAUGGGAGUCUCCUCCACUCUGUCCAAUAGACGGAGUCUCCUCUACUCUGUCCAAUAGAUGGGAUCUCCUCCACUCUGUCCAAUAGACGGAGUAUCCUCCACUCUGUCCAAUAGACGGAGUAUCCUCCACUCUGUCCAAUAGACGUAGUAUCCUCCACUCUGUCCAACAGACGGAGUCUCCUCCACUCUGUCCAAAAGAUGGGAGUCUCCUCCACUCUGUCCAACAGAUGGAGUCUCCUCCACUCUGUCCAAUAGACGGAGUCUCCUCCACUCUGUCCAAUACAUGGGAGUCUCCUCCACUCUGUCCAAUAGAUGGGAGUCUCCUCCACUCUGUCCAAUAGAUGGGAGUCUCCUCCACUCUGUCCAAUAGACGGAGUCUCCUCCACUCUGUCAAAUAGACGGAGUCUCCUCCACUCUGUCCAAUAGACGGAGUCUCCUCCACUCUGUCCAAUAGACGGAGUCUCCUCCACUCUGUCCAAUAGACGGAGUCUCCUCCACUUUGUCCAAUAGACGGAGUCUCCUCCACUCUGUACAAUAGACGGAGUCUCCUCUACUCUGUCCAAUAGAUGGGAGUCUCCUCCACUCUGUCCAAUAGACGGAGUCUCCUCUACUCUGUCCAAUAGAUGGGAUCUCCUCCACUCUGUCCAAUAGACGGAGUCUCCUCCACUCUGUCCAAUAGACGGAGUCUCCUCC